rnacentral:rRNA from 1 species
UACAGAGGGUGCGAGCGUUAAUCGGAAUUACUGGGCGUAAAGCGCAUGUAGGUGGUGAAUUAAGUUUGAUGUGAAAGCCCUGGGCUUAACCUGGGAAUGGCAUUGAAAACUGUUUUACUAGAGUCGGACAGAGGGUAGUGGAAUUUCCGGUGUAGCGGUGAAAUGCGUAGAUAUCGGAAAGAACACCAGCGGCGAAGGCGGCUACCUGGGCUAACACUGACGCUCAGGCACGAAAGCGUGGGGAGCAAACAGG